rnacentral:rRNA from 1 species
UUUUUAAAUUGCUGUGGUAUUUUGACUAUACGAAGGUAUUGAAAUAAGAUUUUAAAUGAGUGCUAAGAGAAUGAUUAAACAAUUAAAAGCUUUCUUUAAUUGAAUAAUUGAAUUUAAUUUUUUAGUGCAAAAGCAAAAAUAAAAAUUAGGGACAAGAAGACCCUAUGAAUUUUUUAUUAAAUUUUAUAAAACUUUAUAUAAAAUUUAAUUUAAUUGGGGUGAUGGAAAAAGAAUAAAUAUCUUUUUUUAAAAGAAAAUUGGUUCCGUUCUUAGCGAUUAAAUGAAAAAAAUACUCUAGGGAUAACAGCGUAAUAAUUUUGGAUAGUUCAUAUAGAUAAAAUAGUUUGCGACCUCGAUGUUGGAUUAGGAUUCUUUUUUAGUGAAGAAGUUAAAAAAAGAAGUUUGUUCAACUUAUAAUUUCCUACUUGAUCU